rnacentral:rRNA from 1 species
AGUGAACGCUGGCGGUAGGCCUAACACAUGCAAGUCGAACGGCAGCACAGGAGAGCUUGCUCUCUGGGUGGCGAGUGGCGGACGGGUGAGGAAUACAUCGGAAUCUACUUUUUCGUGGGGGAUAACGUAGGGAAACUUACGCUAAUACCGCAUACGACCUACGGGUGAAAGCAGGGGAUCUUCGGACCUUGCGCGAUUGAAUGAGCCGAUGUCGGAUUAGCUAGUUGGCGGGGUAAAGGCCCACCAAGGCGACGAUCCGUAGCUGGUCUGAGAGGAUGAUCAGCCACAAUGGAACGGAGACACGGUCCAGACUCCUACGGGAGGCAGCAGUGGGGAAUAUUGGACAAUGGGCGCAAGCCUGAUCCAGCCAUACCGCGUGGGUGAAGAAGGCCUUCGGGUUGUAAAGCCCUUUUGUUGGGAAAGAAGUCCAGCUGGUUAAUACCCGGUUGGGAUGACGGUACCCAAAGAAUAAGCACCGGCUAACUUCGUGACAGCCGCCGCCGUAA